rnacentral:lncRNA from 1 species
UGACCUCAGAUGGACUGAGGUUUUUUCUCACUUUACUGUUUUUCUUUGCUUCCAGUUGGAUCCUCUGGUGCAGCAGUUUCCCCACAGGACGAAGCAGCAGCAGCAGCUCCUCUGCACUCGGAUCUCACGGCAGCACGUCGUCCACUCACACUCGACUCAGCAGCAGCAGCGGUUGAUCCGGACCACGGUCGACCAGCGGAGCCUGAACGAGUCGAGCUGCCUGCACCACGGGGCGGAACUACGGAGGACCAUCAGCGCCCAGCGGAUCCACUGGCCCGUCGGCGGCUCUCAGUUCGUCCCACAGGACGACUGGAGCAGCUCCUGCUCCGACGCCCGGUCCCGUCCCGCCGUGCCGCUCCUCCACCCCGUCCCCAAGAGAGGCCUGCGCUCCCACGACCCCGCCGCCGCCCUGCAGAGCCUGCUCGUCAUCUCGUCUCUGGUCCGGAGGCCGCCUGGCUUCUCUCACGUGGUCCGGGACUCGUCCCUCAGCAGGGGCCCCCGCCACGGGAAAGGGCAAUGAGGAGCAGAGGGACCCCCGAAAACCGGGUCAAAGUCCAGAACCUGCUGCAGGCCGACGCCCGCAGACUUGAAGCUGCUCCACAUUUGAAUCCACUUUGGAUUAAAAGCUGGAGGUGGAGAUAACACACACACACACACACACACACACACACACACACACACACACACACACACACACUGCCUGUGACGAAUGUCUCCCAUUUGUAGAUUUCAAUAUCUGGACACCUGCAGUUUUAGGCUGCUCGCCACUUCACAGCAAAUAUGACAUUAUGUUUUUGUUUUUUUUUAGAAAACAUUUUCUACCAGUGUGUGAACAGACGUGUGUAAUAUUUUUGCUCUGAGGAAGAAUCAUGUGGAGCAAACCUUGUGUUUUGUGCCAAAAUAAAACCUCACAGGCCUCAUGGAACUGAACAUCUGCACAUUUUCUCUCUGAAAAAAUAUCAGAAUCUGCUCAAAUCAAUCAAAUGAGAUUCUAAUUCUUGAGUUUUACAAAUUAAUAAUAAUAAUAAUAAUUGAAACUCGAGGGUCUGUUGCUUUGUUUGUGCUGUCAAGUAUUGAACAAAACUUUUUUUGUUUGAGUUUCGUGGCCGUAAAGUUUUACAGCUUCUCUGCUGCCGGUUUCUUUGUUUCAGUCGAGAACUGAAAACAAAAAUAUAAGUAAAAUAAAAAAUAAAAAAACUUUUGAAACUCUGAACCAUCAGAGAGGAAAUUGGCCCAAAACAAUACACACAGUGUUGAAAUGAUGAAAUGUGGGCCUAAAUUUUUAACAUCUCAACCAAUAAUUGGUCCAUAAUUCAAAACUGUGUGGAAAUAUGGUUUUUUUUAAAUUGUUAUAUGAAUAAAAAAAGAAAAGAAACAGAAAGGCCACGUGAAGAUGUUUUCUUUAACCUCAGUGUCUAAUCGAGGUUUAUAAAACUAAAAAUUGACCGACUGCUUUGAAUAGAAAAACAUAUUUUUAUAUAUAGUUUUAUUAUAAAUGUAUAUAUUGGACAAAACACUGAAGGCCUCUGACUGCAGACGCCAGGUUUUCGUUUUUUAAUGAUUUAAAAAAAGAACUUUUCUGUCUUGUCAGAGAAAACAACUGUCUGAUCUCCUGUGAAGUUAAAUUCAAGAUUAAUUAUGAGCAUAAACAGAUAUUAAAACAACAGAGAAGAUAUUCCAUAGUGUUGCUCUUAUUUAAUUUAAAACGUGUAUUUAUUUUUCUAUCAACAGACAUUGUGAGGAAAUGACAGUUGUUGUUUUUUGUCUGUUUGAGGGGUGAACAAAAUAAAGCGCUGAGGUCACGUGAUGGAUUUAAGGAAUUUAUGGUUUUAUUGUGUCUAGAAAUGUCGGAGGUCCUCGUCGGUGGAAAGGAGCAAUCUUUGAAACAAACCAAAACGGAAAUACACCACAAGAAGGAAAAUAAAACAAAAAGGAGAAAUACAUUUUAAAGGAUUUAUUAAAGGAUCUAAAGUUUAGUUUUGUUCUGAUGAUAUUAAUAUAAAAUGUGGUUGUUUUUCUGACCUUGAAGGCAUCAUCUUCCAUCUUUGGCCUGUGUGCGCUGACAAAAAAUCAUCUGCAGAGGGGAAUUCCUUCAUUUUCAUAAAUCAUAACGAGCUUUUAAAAUGAAAACGAUUAUAUUCUAAAACCAAAUGAUUUGAGCAGAAAAAAAGAGCUCGAUGUUUCUCAUGUGAGAUUUUGAGAUUUUACGCAAACAGUGCGUAAUUGAAAGACAUCACACACUCUCAAGGAUUUGGAGAUGUAGACGGAUUAUAUUUUAAAUCAUCUAAAAGAUUAUUAAACACGUGAAUCCUUAAAUGUCUGGAUCAUAUUCAGAACAAUCAGAAUAUGUACAGACCUUUUCAGAACCAGGUCCAGCAGCACAACGUCCACAUCCUCUCACCAACGUCCGUUUUUAAAAACGUCCCAGGCCUUGGAGAGGAAACAAAGAUGGCGAUGAGAAGAAGAGACGAGAGGGAGAAAGAAAGAAAAUGUCCUAAGCUGCUGUUUUAUGAAAAUUUACAACUUUGCCAGGGGAAGUUUUACGACCGGCGCGGCUCCGGGAUUGGCUGCCGCCGGCCACGUGCUCCAAGCAGGAAUGGGAACUUAUUAUUUCCCAUGAGGGUUUUUUUAUUUUUAUUGCAGCUGCUGUUUUAACACACAUCCCUGUUUCUGACCGACAGUGUGUGUGUGUGUGUGUGUGUGUGUGGAGACAGUGUACUUGCGUCAUUUUCCCCCUCUGCGCGACGCCAUGUUAAUGUGCCUGUUAUAGACUUUAUGUCGGUAUGUGUUCGCGUCGGCGGCAGCAUCUCUCUCUGUCUCUCUCUCUCUCUCUCUCUCUCUCUCUCUCUCUCUCCUGGAUGCGGGAUUAACUGUCAUGUGCGGGAUUAACUCUGGUGAAAUCACUUGAGAACAAAGUGGAGGGAUUAGAGCGGCGAAGCAGCGGGAGGAAGCUGCGGCGGCUGCAGCCUGACGCAUGGAACAUGAUGGAUUAUCAACAAAAGGUAAGAGAGCGGCGUGUUUCUCAUAAUCCCUGCAGAUUAACUCGACACGAGCGCGCCGCCGCAGCUCUGAUGUAGAUGUCAACCUGGUGUUGAUGUUACUGGAAAUGAGAUGAAUCCACAAGAUGAUGGGAAUUAUCCAGAGCAUCCUGCGUCCUGUGUUGGCUUGUUUCUCCUCCUCUUACGUCCCUCU